rnacentral:rRNA from 1 species
AUCUGGGCGGCGGAAUUCAGGAUAGCCGGGCGGGUCUCGCGCUCGUUCGGUUGUUUGAUAUUUCCGUCGCCGUGUCAGACGUCGCGACCUGUUUGUCGUCGGUCCUUGCUCGGAGGAAUCGCGAUCGAGUUCGUUGCGGGUGCGUUUCGGCGUGUCCCGCGGUGAAGGCGCGUCUUUCUGGCUGACGACGGACAGUAAGCAACGGUGUCCGGCGUCGUGUCUCGCACUCGACGUCGGUGCCGGUCAGCGACGAUUUCUUCGGGCCUCUUUCCGACCCGUCUUGAAACACGGACCAAGGAGUCUAACAUGCGCGCGAGUCGCGGGGUUUCGAGCGUGCCACGGUGCGCUCGUUACUUCCGAAACCCGUACGUUGAAGGCGUAAUGAAAGUGAAUAGGGAAGAUGGCGUUCCGAGUCCACGUACCGUGAUCGAGUAUCGCGGCCGGACGCCCGCAUUCCCGGGGCGUCUCAAUGGUUCGUCGCGGAUGCGGACGGUCGUCUUUCGGGGCGGCAGUCGAUCUGCGACGGUCCGA